CAGGAAGCGAUUCUUGACACCUACAAGCAUGCCCUUGGGAUGCUCGCUUGAUGGCAUCACCCUGGAUGAAGUUCUAUCCGUCUGACUGGCGCGCAGACCCAAUGCUGCGGCUCUGCUCGAUGGCUGCACGCGGCUUGUGGGUUGAGAUGCUUUGCAUCAUGCAUGAGGCGACGCCCUACGGCACGCUUCUGGUGAACGGGCGUCGUUUGGAUAAGAAGCAACUGGCCGCGCUCGUUGGAAUCCCCGAGCGGGACUGCACGGCACUACUCCUCGAACUAGAAGGAGGGGGCGUGUUCAGUCGCGAAGAGGAUGGUACGAUUUUUUCGCGCCGUAUGCGCCGGGAUGCAGAGAAGGCGUUGAAGGAUAAGGAAAACGGC
rnacentral:misc_RNA from 1 species